AGCGAACGCUGGCGGCAGGCUUAACACAUGCAAGUCGAGCGGAUGUAGCAAUACAUCAGCGGCAGACGGGAGAGUAACACGUGGGAACGUACCUUUCAGUUCGGAACAACCCAGGGAAACUUGGGCUAAUACCGGAUACGCCCGUAAGGGGAAAGAUUUAUCGCUGAAAGAUCGGCCCGCGUCUGAUUAGCUAGUUGGUGAGGUAACGGCUCACCAAGGCGACGAUCAGUAGCUGGUCUGAGAGGAUGAUCAGCCUCAUUGGGACUGAGACACGGCCCAAACUCCUACGGGAGGCAGCAGUGGGGAAUAUUGGACAAUGGGCGCAAGCCUGAUCCAGCCAUGCCGCGUGGGUGAUGAAGGCCCUAGGGUUGUAAAAUUCUUUC
rnacentral:rRNA from 1 species